AUCACCUUUCAAAGGCUGACAGCAUCUGCUUUUUUACUGAGAGAAACCUGUUGCCAUACAAGAAACUCUACUACCAGAGCCAGCCUGCAGUGAAGAAGCCCAGACCAGCCCUGUGGAGAGGUCACAUAGGGAAGAACUGAGGAGCCAAAGACAGAGAGAAUGGAUCCCCACACAUAUAUUCACCACAGGACCAUUACAGCCAAUCCCCAGUCAUCCAUGCAAUCCCAGGAACUGGAGCUUAUGCUGGGCAGAGAAUGAAGAAAAGCUGAUCCCUGUCUAUGCAAGUGGCAGAAGCAAUUCACAAAGAGAGGUUUGGUGGGAGAGAGGAAGAAGCUGGCAGAGGAGAGGAAGAAGUUCUGUAUUCAAGCCAGAAGGAACCUCUGACCCAGCUGAUUGUGGACUGAAACCUCUACAAACUCGUCGAGGAGCAGAGAUGCCCCCAGCACCGAGGAGGAGCCUUCCAGGCCACCAUACCACCACUGCCAGCGCUGAGGAGUUGAGCCUUUUGGGCCACCUACCACCACCUGGAGUGCCCAGGAGCAGAACCCCCCUCAACCCCAAUGAGGUGAGCCAUGAGGACACCAGCAGCACACCCACCCCCCCUUGAAAUGAGAAGACAUGUAAACAAGUCUCAAAACCAGACUUCUAGAUUACCUAAAGCAACCCAAAUGGAAACGAGAUGAAACAAUCUGAUACUCCACUACCUGGACUCCCUGAACUGCCAACAAAAGAGGAUCUGGAAAAAAUGAAAUCAGAAAUAAUUACUCAGAUAAGAGCAGAGAUUGUGCCCAUAGUGCAAGACAUAAUUAAUAAAUCUAGAGCAGACAGAUUAAAAAAAUACAGGAGCUGAGAAACAUGAUGGAAUCCCAACAUAGGAAACAAAUGGAAUCCAUAAAACAGAUACAGAUUUCCAGGAGAUUAAAAAUGCCAUUGAAAGUUUACACAGCAGAGAGAGCCAAUGUGAGGGCAGAAUUUCAGAUAUAGAAGAUAAGAUUGCAAUUAGUGACCAGAAAAAGAAAACUUUCUUUAAAAUAGUAAAGGACCAGGAGAAGUCAAUCCAGCAGCUGCUAGACGAUGCAAAGAAGAAUAACAUAAGACUGAUCAGAGUCGAUGAAGAAACAGGAGAGAGUGCAGAAGACAGAAAAAAACUAUUUAGGGCCGGGGAUUUAGCUCAGUGGUUUUGCCACCUGCUGCACAAGUGCAAGGACCCGAGUCCAAUCCCCGGUACCAAAAAAAAAAAAAACUGUUCACAGAAGUGAUGGUGGAAAACUUCCCAAGCAAGGGAAAAGAACUUCACAUACACAUAAGUGAGGCAUAUAGGACUCCAAUUAGCCUUGAUCAAAAAAAAAAAGAAAUACUACACAUAGGCAUAUAACAGUUAAGAUUCAAGAAACCCAACAGAAGAACAAAGUUCUACAAGCAGUUAGAGAAAAGAAACAAAUCACAUACAAAUGAAAACCCAUCAGAAUCACAGCAGACUUCUCAGUGCAAACCAUCAAGGCAAGAAAAGCUUGAGUUAUGUAUUUCAAGCCCUAAAGGAAAACAAACUCCAACCCAGAUUGAUGUACUCUCCAAAAAUAUCUUUCAAAAUUGAUAGAGAAAUAAGAUUCUUUCAUGACAAAGAGCACCUUAAGAACUUUAUGAAUAUCGAACCAGCAC
rnacentral:lncRNA from 1 species